rnacentral:rRNA from 1 species
CACGUAGGGUGCGAGCGUUGUCCGGAAUUAUUGGGCGUAAAGAGCUCGUAGGCGGUUUGUCGCGUCUGCCGUGAAAGUCCGGGGCUCAACUCCGGAUCUGCGGUGGGUACGGGCAGGCUAGAGUUCGGUAGGGGAGACUGGAAUUCCUGGUGUAGCGGUGAAAUGCGUAGAGAUCAGGAAGAACACCGGUGGCGAAAGCGCUCUGCUAGGCCGCAACUGACACUCAUGGACGAAAGCUAGGGGAGCGAAUGGG